rnacentral:rRNA from 1 species
CGAGAUGUAGCAAUACGUCGUCGGCGACCGGCGAAUGGGUGAGCAACACGUAUGCAACUUACCUCUUAGUGGUGAAUAACCCGAUGAAAGUCGGACUAAUACACCAUAUACUCCUUCGAUCCCAUGAGAAGAGGAGGAAAGAUUAAUCGCUAAGAGAUGGGCCUGCGUUCCAUUAGCUAGUUGGUAAGGUAACGGCUUACCAAGGCAACGAUGGAUAGGGGGACUGAGAGGUUGACCCCCCACAUUGACACUGAGAUACGGGUCAAACUCCUACGGGAGGCAGCAGUGAGGAAUAUUGGUCAAUGGGCGAGAGCCUGAACCAGCCAAGUCGCGUGAAGGAAGACUGCCCGCAAGGGUUGUAAACUUCUUUUGUAUGGGAUUAAAGUCACCUGCGUGUAGGUGUUUGCAGUUACCAUACGAAUAAGCAUCGGCUAACUCCGUGCCAGCAGCCGCGGUAAUACGGAGGAUGCGAGCGUUAUCCGGAAUUAUUGGGUUUAAAGGGUGCGUAGGUUGCAAGGGAAGUCAGGGGUGAAAAGCUGUAGCUCAACUAUGGUCUUGCCUUUGAAACUCUCUAGCUAGAGUGUACUGGAGGUACGUGGAACGUGUGGUGUAGCGGUGAAAUGCAUAGAUAUCACACAGAACUCCGAUUGCGCAGGCAGCGUACUACAUUACAACUGACACUGAAGCACGAAAGCGUGGGUAUCCAACAGG